GACGAACGCUGGCGGCGUGCUUAACACAUGCAAGUCGAACGAAGAGCGAUGGAAGCUUGCUUCUAUCAAUCUUAGUGGCGAACGGGUGAGUAACGCGUAAUCAACCUGCCCUUCAGAGGGGGACAACAGUUGGAAACGACUGCUAAUACCGCAUACGAUCUAAUCUCGGCAUCGAGGAUAGAUGAAGGGUGGCCUCUACAUGUAAGCUAUCACUGAAGGAGGGGAUUGCGUCUGAUUAGCUAGUUGGAGGGGUAACGGCCCACCAAGGCGAUGAUCAGUAGCCGGUCGGAGAGGAUGAACGGCCACAUUGGGACUGAGACACGGCCCAGACGCCUACGGGAGGCAGCAGGGGGGAAUCUUCCGCAAGGGACGAAAGUCUGACGGAGAAACGCCGCGGGAGGGAUGACGGCCGUCGGGUUGUAAAGCUCGGUUAAUCGGGACGAAAGGCCUUCUUGCGAAUAGGGAGAAGGAUUGACGGUACCGGAAUAGAAAGCCACGGCUAACUACGUG
rnacentral:rRNA from 1 species